AUAAAAUAAAAUUGGAAGGACACAGAGAAGACUAGCAUGGCCCUUAUGUAAGAAAGACAUACAAAUUUGGGAAACAAUGCAUAUUUUG
rnacentral:snRNA from 1 species